rnacentral:rRNA from 1 species
CCUACGGGUGGCAGCAGUGGGGGAUAUUGCACAAUGGGGGAAACCCUGAUGCAGCGACGCCGCGUGUGGGAAGACGGUCCUCUGGAUUGUAAACCACUGUCCCCAGGGACGAAGAUGACGGUACCUGGGGAGGAAGCUCCGUCUAACUACGUGCCAGCAGCCUCGGUAAAACGUAGGGAGCAAGCGUUGUCCGGAGUUACUGGGUGUAAAGGGAGCGUAGGCGGGAUGGCAAGUUGGGUGUUAAAUCUACCGGCUCAACUGGUAGUCGCACUCAAAACUGCUAUUCUUGAGUGAAGUAGAGGCAUGCGGAAUUCCUAGUGUAGCGGUGAAAUGCGUAGAUAUUAGGAGGAACACCAGUGGCGAAGGCGGCCUGCUGGGCUUCUACUGACGCUGAGGCUCGAAAGUGUGGGGAGCAAACAGGAUUAGAUACCCUGGUAGUC